rnacentral:rRNA from 1 species
AGAGCGAACGCUGGCGGCAGGCCUAACACAUGCAAGUCGAGCGGCCGUAGCAAUACGGCAGCGGCAGACGGGAGAGUAACACGUGGGAACGUACCCUUUGGUUCGGAACAACACAGGGAAACUUGUGCUAAUACCGGAUAAGCCCUUACGGGGAAAGAUUUAUCGCCAAAGGAUCGGCCCGCGUCUGAUUAGCUAGUUGGUGGGGUAACAGCCCACCAAGGCGACGAUCAGUAGCUGGUCUGAGAGGAUGAUCAGCCUCACUGGGACUGAGACACGGCCCAGACUCCUACGGGAGGCAGCAGUGGGGAAUAUUGGACAAUGGGCGCAAGCCUGAUCCAGCCAUGCCGCGUGGAUGAUGAAGGCCCUAGGGUUGUAAAGUCCUUUCGGCGGGGAAGAUAAUGACGGUACCCGCAGAAGAAGCCCCGGCUAACUUCGUGCCAGCAGCCGC